rnacentral:rRNA from 1 species
AUUGAACGCUGGCGGCAUGCCUAACACAUGCAAGUCGAACGAGUGGCGGACGGGUGAAUAAUGUCUUGGAAACUGCCUGAUGGAGGGGGAUAACGACUGUAAAAGUUAGCUAAUCCCGCAUACCAUCAUAUCUACCCAGAUGGGAGUAGCUAGUUGGUGGGGUAACGGCUCACCAAGGCGACGAUCCCUAGCUGGUCUGAGAGGAUGACCAGCCACACUGGAACUGAGACACGGUCCAGACUCCGACGGGAGGCAGCAGUGGGGAAUAUUGCACAAUGGGCGAAAGCCUGAUGCAGCAAUGCCGCGUGUAUGAAGAAGGCCUUCGGGUCGUAAAGUACUUUCAGCUGGGAAGCGGUACCCACAGAGAAAGCAACGGCUAACUACGUGCCAGCAGCCGCGGUAAUUC